rnacentral:rRNA from 1 species
UGGGGAAUAUUGCACAAUGGGCGCAAGCCUGAUGCAGCCAUGCCGCGUGUAUGAAGAAGGCCUUCGGGUUGUAAAGUACUUUCAGCGAGGAGGAAGGCGGUAAGGUUAAUAACCUUAUCGAUUGACGUUACUCGCAGAAGAAGCACCGGCUAACUCCGUGCCAGCAGCCGCGGUAAUACGGAGGGUGCAAGCGUUAAUCGGAAUUACUGGGCGUAAGCGCACGCAGGCGGUCUGUCAAGUCGGAUGUGAAAUCCCCGGGCUCAACCUGGGAACUGCAUUCGAAACUGGCAGGCUAGAGUCUUGUAGAGGGGGGUAGAAUUCCAGGUGUAGCGGUGAAAUGCGUAGAGAUCUGGAGGAAUACCGGUGGCGAAGGCGGCCCCCUGGACAAAGACUGACGCUCAGGUGCGAAAGCGUGGGGAGCAAACA